rnacentral:misc_RNA from 1 species
GUGAGUCAUCGAAUCUUUGAACGCACCUUGCGCUCCUUGGUAUUCCGAGGAGCAUGCCUGUUUGAGUGUCUUGAAAUCAUCAAACCCCUCUGGUUUCUGCUGGAGCGGGUUUGGACUUGGGGGUUUUGCUGCCUCUGGCGGCUCCCCUUAAAUGAAUCGGUCGGGCUUAUCGUGUGCCGGUCCACGGGCGUUGUAUCACCCUCGUCCUGGGAUGGCGCUCGACUCGAAGGCCCCUCCUCGACCUGCCUAUGGAGUGGCGGUCAACUUCAAUUUGUGAUCUGACCUCAAAUCAGGUAGGAC